rnacentral:rRNA from 1 species
GACGAACGCUGGCGGCGCGCUUAACACAUGCAAGUCGAGCGAGAACCAGCCCUUCGGGGCUGGGGACAGCGGCGAACGGGUGAGUAACACGUGGGUAAUCUGCCCUCGGCACCGGGAUAGCCCGGGGAAACCCGGAUUAAUACCGGAUGGCCUUUCGAGCCCUCGGGCUUGAGAGAAAAGGUAGCCUUGGCCUCUGGCCGAGGAUGAGCCCGCGGCCGAUUAGCUUGUUGGUGAGGUAAUGGCCCACCAAGGCGACGAUCGGUAGCUGGUCUGAGAGGACGAUCAGCCACACUGGGACUGAGACACGGCCCAGACUCCUACGGGAGGCAGCAGUGGGGAAUCUUGCGCAAUGGGCGAAAGCCUGACGCAGCGACGCCGUGUGCGGGAAGAAGGCCU